AAAGAGCCCACAGCAGAAGCAGGAGCUGUGUGUGCCUCAGCCCUUCCAUGCCGAUUCACCAGCCUACUGUAACGCCUGCUUGAUGAGGCUAGACUCGGAGGAGAAAGAGGCUCUGGAUUACAUCGAAGCCUUUCUCACGAGCAAUGAACAGGACGAGGCCAAGAAACUCAAGUUCUUGGAUUCCAUCAGCACCCUCAGAAGCCUGCCUGCUUUUAUGAACAAAGCCCUGCUAGUGGAGAAGAUAAAGUUAGCUCGUGAGCUCUCUGGGGCAGGGACUGGCUCUCACUGUGUGUGUG